UCUUCUUUGGUAAAUUUUAGGUAGUAAAAAUAAUAAUUUUCUUGAAAAUAUUGAAAAAAAAAAAAAAGAAUUUGACCGUUCUGUUUGUACUUGCCAGACCAAAUAUUAACAAUCCACUUGCUGGUACGUAUUUAAUUAUAUUCAAAAGAUGUAUGUAUUGAAAUAAGACAAACUAAACAAAUUUUAGCAGAUCGGCAUUACUGAUCAGCAGCUUUUUAUUUUCACUUUUAUCUCAGCACGCACAAGGUAUUACCAAAUUGUACUCUAGACUUUCAACUCAACUCUGGUUAUUUUGGAGGAAACGCAAUAACGUUUAAGCCUUUUGAAGGCUGCCGUCACUGAAUUUUUUGAAGAAAACAAAACAAAUAAAUUGUUUUUAAUACAAGCGUAGGAAAAUUCCAAACAAAAUUAUUAAAAAUGAUGAAUAAAGCCUUUGAAAAAAUGUAAAUAAUAUUUGGCGAUAGUUUGUACAAAAGAGCAGAUCGAAAAAUUAGCAUGGUACCUGAUGUAAGCCCCGAAGGGUUUGCGGAGGAGGUGUGUCGAUAACCAGGCCCAGAGUACCCUUAAAGUUUAUGUGAUCCUGUGUCCAUAUACACACCAGGUUGGACCAAGAGCUUCGAAAUCUCUUUUGGCUGGCAUGAUACACGCCUGUAUGUUAAAAUUCAACUUUGAUCAGCAGCGACAACGUGUAUGGCUGGCAGUUAAUGUGUUAAGGUCAUAAUAAAAUUAAAUUAAUAAAUAUACUGCUUAUAAAGUGGGGGACCAACGCUGAGAUGACUCUCUUUUGCACAACACGUGUCCAGACUACCAAAUAAAAUCCAGCCUGGGAUACAGACCUAUAUAUGAAUUCUAAUUUAUAAUUUUACCACGACCAGAGCACGUGUUUAUCUUCAGCUUCAGAGGAAGAACAUCUCAGACUUAUUCUGCAAAACCACUUCACCGGAUAUGCUCCAUUUUUGUCAUCCUUGCUGACAAUAUGUUCCGCAACCACUUUACACACUGCAACCAUUUAUUGUUUAAUUAUUUAUUUGUCAGAAAAUUAUUGACUUGGUUUUUACCAAAUUAGUAUCACCAGAUAUGCUGCAGAGUAAGAUAGUAGAGAAAGAAACUCUACUGCUCGUAGAGGGGGAGGACGGAAGGGAUGGGAGACAUCGCUCUGGAAGGGGCUUCAUUCAUAAAUGCUUGGUGAGGCGUCAAUGGAUGCGCCUGUAACCAACCUCGACAGAAUUUCUUCUCUCUUGCUCUCAUUCCAGGACUUAUUUCCCGAGCUUUUUUAUCUUUUUCUCCCUCCAAUUUAAACAGCCGACUCUUUCAUCAUCUUCUUCUUCUUCUUCUUCUUCUUCUUCUUCUUCUUCUUCCCUUUCUCAUCUCCGAAGAACCAAACCAAACUGCUCGACCAAAUUCUUCAAAAUAAAAUCCCUUAUCAAUUUAUAUUUUUAAAAGUUUAAACUAUAAAGUAGUAAGUACAUUUAUGUUGUUAUUAUACGCGCAGGCUAUGAAAUGUUUAUUUAAAUUAUUUGCUCCAGCUCGUGACGAUAAAAGAAAAGCAGGAGGGUCUGGUAUGCGAAAAACGAGACGCCGGAUGUGUGACAUCAUCUGUACGGGUCCCAAUCGCUCAACGAUUCCCAUCAUCAGGGCAAAGGCAUCAUGAGUUUAAUCAAAAAUUUCGCUGCUACACAUUUAAAUGCCUAUUUUGUUAUUAUUGCAACAUAUCCAGAGGUGUAUGAUGGAAUGCCAGCGGAUAUGGUAGUCCAAGGUCAGACCAAAAGCAACCGAUCAUCAACUGCUGGAUCUUUGCCACGGAGUUUAUUACUAUACAGCGAGUACUUAACUUGCCACUUAUUAUUUCCAACUGUUUAGUCAGGACUGGACUUACUCCAUUAUCGACGCCUUGGUAGCCCUAUUUAGCAUCACAAUAACAAUGUAAUUUUAUUAUCAUAAAAUUUACGUACAGAAAACAGUGUAGUGAGCUUUCUCCUGGUUAUCUCAAAAUUUAACUCAACCAGACCUCUGUUGAUUCGUCGGGCUUCCAUUAAACUCAACAUUCAAUUUUAUUAACACUUGUAGCAACACCUGUUGUCAAUAAUCAAUAACAAUAACUGUUUAUUAACAACUAUUCUCUCCAACAAUAUAAAUAAUAACAAUAAGAAGAUACCCUCGACUACCAAAAAACUGAUGGAAUUUUAUUGGUUUUUAUUGAUCUGUAUACGUUUAAAGUUUUUCCAUAAUGUUCUUAAGAGCAUGGCAUAUCAGAGUAGCCGAGUCUUGACAUAACACAGGCCCUGAUGUCUCCGUAAUUGUACUCCAACUCCCAGGUGGUCGUCUCGUCUGGAAAUAUAGUUAACAUUUUUAGAAAAAAAACUUUACUUUCAUUUAUAAUCAUCCAAAUUAUGUACAAAGGUGCGAAAGUGCUGGAACAUGAAAAAAAAAAAAAAAAAAUAUUAAAAGCAAUUCAGGUCAGCAAUGAUCGAUUAUUACAAACUAUAUGGAAGAAUUUUGUUGGGUAAAAUUUGAGCACCAACUGCGAGUACAUAUAAAAUAAUGGUCCAAUAGGCUACUCGAGAUACUAAUGCAAUAAUUGUACACACCAGAAUGCUAUAGAUAGCUAGGGUAGGUACAAGGUAUAUAUAGUACCUCUAUCUAUAAAAAGAAAAAAGUAAGCAUAUCCGAGUAGCAUAACUAAAGUGACUUCCUUGAACGGAGAAAAUCUACCGAGCGUAUCAACGUAGUGAGCACCAUCCAGAACAUUCACGGUCUAGUGGAAUUAAAUACGAGAACGUAAAUUUGCUCCAGUUGUUCGGUAUUUAAAUACCCUCGGUUUAAUAUCUAUUGACCUUGGUUAUUUUUGACGUGGAUAAUGAUAAUAGUUGGACCCAUCGAUCUACAAAUGACAUCACGGCUUAGCUGUCGAUAAUAUAUACACAUAUGUGUAUUUUUAUAGAUCGCUAGACCUGAUAAUAACUAUAUAUCCGAAAUCGGGACACGGAUCGCACGCGACGUUCAAGGAGCAUAAUAACUUGGGCUGCCCUUACAUCCGGCGAAGGGUCUAACCAACGCAAAUAUAAAGGAAUUGCGUGUACUAUCAUAAAUGUAGUCCAGAGAAACUUGUCCUACGUAUAGUAGUAAAAUCAUAAAACGCAAACGACGCGUGAGUUUUUGCCACGCAUAGACCAUUUUUCCCCACUAUCUGAUACCAUAAAUCUUCCUAGAUAGCAAAAGGGCUGAUAGACCAUGAUACUAUUGUAUAAAUGAGGAAAAGAAAAUAAAGGAAAGUAUUGUGUUUGAAGGAAGAAAACACUGAAUAAGACCCCAGUCUUUGUGGUGAUGUUAAAGAGAAACCCAACGGAAUUUUCCAGGGCUUUGAAAAAGGUCUACAGGAUACUGCCCAGGCAGUUCAAGUGAUUCCUUGGAAAAGCCGUCAAAGUGCCGAUCUAUUCUCAGCAAAAC